ensembl:lncRNA
AUAACAUACCAAUUAUGGAUUUUUACAUACAAACACGUAGCUUUUCACUUCACGAGAUGUUCAUUGAUGGACUGGAGUCAUGUGGAUUACUUGUGGGUUAUUGUGAUGUUUUUAUCAGCUGUUUGGACUCUCAUUCUGACGGCACCCAUUUACUGCAGAAGAUACAUUGGUGAGCAAGUUAUGUAAUUUCUCCAAAUCUGUUCAGAUGAAGUCUAUGUACUCAUCGAUGAACUCAUCUACAUCUUGGAUGGUUGAGGGUGAGUACAUUUUCAGCAUAUUUUCUUUUCUAGCUGAACUAUUCCUUUAAUUGCUCUCUGGUUGUCACCCAGCAGGUACUUCAUUAGACGCUGACAUGACAUUGAUUAUUGUGAUUGUAUCGAUCGCUGCCUAUAUUAAACUGAUUAUUCUCAUCUUCCCCGCAGUUAUAGUUUGGCAAAUACACCAUAAGAAAAAGGAUCAUGGGAUGGUUACACAAAGAGGUGCACACGUCCAUCCAGAUGUAGAGUUGGAGUAUAUUCGAGGUUUAGUUGGUCUUGGGAAUGGCCGCUGUGCUAUCAGUAACAUACCCGCCCAUGGAGAGAUUGAGUCACUUCCUGUGUUUCCUAGAGACUGUCUGAGCUUCAGAAGUCGUUGGGUUGUGGUGCUUUUGGAGACGUUUAUGAAGGAGUUACAGUUGGCAGCCAAAUCACUGAAGUUGUUCCAGAGAUGAGAGUGGCUGUCAAGGGACAUUGCUGCAAGGAACUGUCUGCUGUCUGUAAGAAGCUACACAGACCCAGAAAGGUAUAAUCUGAUGAUGAGCUGCUGGAGCAAAGAACCAACUAAGAGGCCAAACUUUCAGGACCUUGAGGAAGCCCUGAGUAAACUGAGAGAUUAUGAGGCGGAUAAAAGAGCAAACAAAGAGCAGCAGGUCAUGUGAACCAAGCCUACCAAGAAGAUGAAGAGGAGGUCUGCACUAGUGUGAAGAUGAAGAUGAAGACCUGGAAACUGGACUGUCUCCGGUGCUCAGCAAUGAGAGACUGAAUUACUUGAUGUAUCAUGCUGAGAGCCCGGAGAGUGUCCAGACAGACUCAUCGACACCCACCGAAGAUAGAUAAGACUAUAAUUGCCAGUGUUGACAUCGCUGGCAUCCGAAGUUUGUACAAAUUGUGAGCCGGACCUCACUUUGUAAUCUUCUUCCUUGUAAAUACUGUAUAAAACAGCAGCAACAAUGAAAAUAAUAAUGUAGAAUGAUGCAUAAAAAGUUAUAUAUGUAUUUCCUAAAACAAAUACCAGUGGUUGAAUUUGUUAAAUUAUGCAAACAGCCAAAUGAAUGAAUGAAAGUUGUAUUUUUGAUGUAUAGGAUUAAUGUAGAGUUGAAUGAUCAAUAAAAAGAGAUA